AACGCACCUUGCACCCUUUGGUAUUCCGAAGGGUACACCCGUUUGAGUGUCAUUGUAAUCUCACUACGAUCGACUUUAUGUCUUUCUGUAUGUGGACUUGGAUGUUGCCGUGGAUUUCUAUGGCUCGUCCGAAAUGCUUCAGUGUACCCCGCAAAGCGGCGUAUUCGGUGUGAUACAUCUUCACCGGAGUUGAUCCUUCACGGGUCGCGUCUGUAAUGUGUGGCUCUAUGCUUCAAACCGUCUUGACAGGACAAUCUUUGACAAUUCGGCCUCAAAUCGGGUGGGACUACCCGCUGAACUUAA
rnacentral:misc_RNA from 1 species